AAAACACCGUAUAUCAAAAGCAGUUGAAUGUAGCAUUGUCAUACUUGGUACGGCAUAUUUACAUGUAACCAUAUUCUUGCCAGUGUAAUGAUAUAAUCCACAUUUGACCCAAAUUGAGUUUAAAUGGACAUGCGUGCAUAUUUUACAGUAACUGUGAUCGAUACGCGUUCUUCCGAUCAUUAAUUAGAAUGGCCAAGUCGCGUUUCGUAUUGACAGAUGAAUAUGCUCAGUUCAUUAAAUAGCCUACGUCUUAGUUAAAUACGCUUACUUUAUUUAAUAUUAAUUAUACAUUUAUUAAAUGUCUCUUGCAAACUAUGAAGGGACAAUGAAUCAAUACACUGACAUGGUAAUGCUACACAGCAGGGGCGUCAGUUUGUGUUGAAAAGUGGUGGGGACAAAAGAUCAGAUAAAAACAUUACUGCGGGACAGGAAAAAUAUUGAAUAACGGCGCAUCAAAAAUGGGCAUAGCGUAGGCUAGUCAACAACAAGAAAAUACUCAGCAUAAAACCCUCAACAAUGUCGACUGCACACAUGUAACAGUCCCUACAACACCAGCUCAACCGAACAGUGCCAAAGCACCAAACCGUAGAAAACAGCAGCGCUUUUAGUCAAUGAUUACAAUGAAUUUCAUUACAUAUGUACAAGAAAACACACCAUAAGCAUACAACGCAACAUAUGUGACACUAGACCACAAAACCAGUCUUAAGCAUCGCUUGAUUUUUCAGGACAUUUUAACCAAAUGCUUUCAAAAAGUGGUGGGGACAUCCCCAGCGUAAAUAACACCAAUGCUAGACAGAUACUUUGUUUGCACAGUCCUACCGUAAUUAAGUUACUCCUAGAUGUUCGUCUGGUGUCCGGGGGAAACGUUUACCUCGAUGAAGGAAAGUCAUUGUCAUGUUUAUUCGGCUAUAUCCAGUGCUGAGCUUCGAUGAAACUUUACGAGACCGGCGAGAUGCUUCACAGGUGGAAGAUAUGCGGCGUGAUUGACAGCUUUGACACCAAAUGGGUAUACGUGAAAAUCAGAUGACAUGAUUUCACAAGUUUUCAUUGGCCAUUUAGGUAUGUGACGCAUACUGUAUACGGAAAUGAACCUGGACAUUCAAUCUGUCAAAAAAUCUCAAAAUCGGCAAAAUGAACAUACGUGAUUUUCAUCGGACAGCGACGAUAUAUUCAUUCGAUUUUUAAUUUUGAGAUUCGAAUAUUUUUUUCUGUUUUUAACAUUAGCAUUAAUGCAGAGACUGCCAAGCAGGAAGUGCACUUCACGCUCCCGCUCAAGGUUCUGUCAGAGUUCUUUCGCUUAACCAGCAAAAACCUCAAAAUCGAGUUUUUCAAAGAACUGGACAAACAACUCCUCGCUGUCUUGACAUUUUCAAGUCCAAGGGUGGAUGUACCAGCCAGAUACUUAAGGCGUAUUUGCAUCAUCAAAUCGCACUGGGGAAUACAGAUGUUACUGCUAAGUGAACAGCAGUCCUCCGUGGCCUUCCCAUCCUCCUUGGAGAUGAGAACAAAGACUUCUUCAAGACAUACUUUGACUGUGAUGAACCUGAACUGGCCAACACCUCCAUUGAGAUCCUAACAGUAAUCCCUGAAGGUACCCCACCUCAAGGAACACACCAACAUUUUGGGUUUUUAGCUUUUUAACUGUAUUCCCCAGAGUUACAU